rnacentral:rRNA from 1 species
CCUACGGGAGGCAGCAGUGGGGAAUCUUGCGCAAUGGGCGAAAGCCUGACGCAGCAACGCCGCGUGCGGGAAGAAGGCUUUCGGGCUGUAAACCGCUUUCAGCAGGAACGAAAAUGACGGUACCUGCAGAAGAAGGAGCGGCCAACUAUGUGCCAGCAGCCGCGGUGAUACAUAGGCUUCAAGCGUUGUCCGGAUUUAUUGGGCGUAAAGAGUUCGUAGGCGGUCGAGUAAGUCGGGUGUGAAAAUUCUGGGCUCAACCCAGAGACGCCACCCGAUACUGCUUGACUUGAGUUCGAUAGGGGAGUGGGGAAUUCCUAGUGUAGCGGUGAAAUGCGCAGAUAUUAGGAGGAACACCGGUGGCGAAGGCGCCACUCUGGAUCGAUACUGACGCUGAGGAACGAAAGCAUGGGUAGCAAACAGGAUUAGAUACCCUGGUAGUCCAUGCCGUAAACGGUGGGCACUAGGUGUGGGUUUCUAUUAACGAAAUCCGCGCCGUCGCUAACGCAUUAAGUGCCCCGCCUGGGGUCGGUACGGUCGGCGACGAACAAACUAACAAACUAANAAUAGUAGCGNGAGAGNGCGACGACGACGACGACGGAGGAGG